rnacentral:rRNA from 1 species
CAGUAGCCACGGGAAUACGAAGGGGGCUAGCGUUGCUCGGAACGACUGGGCGUAAAGGGCGCGUAGGCGGAUUGUUUAGUUAGACGUGAAAUUCCUGGGCUUAACCUGGGGACUGCGCUUAAUACAGGCAGUCUAGAGUGAGGAAGAGGGCUGUGGAAUUCCCAGUGUAGAGGUGAAAUUCGUAGAUAUUGGGAAGAACACCGGUGGCGAAGGCGGCAACCUGGUCCUUGACUGACGCUGAGGCGCGAAAGCGUGGGGAGCAAACAGGAUUAGAGACCCCCGUAGUCCCUGUCUCUUAUAC